GGUUCCAGGGCUUGAGCGUCCGGGCUUGGGCGGGGGACGGGUAGCAUCGGUCCUAGGAUGCGAAGGCCAUCUCUUUCCGGGCGGGGGUCAAAUCCUCGGGAAGCCGAGCCAUCCCCUCCAGCCGCCUGCCCGAAACGGGGCGCAGGCCGUGGUCACCUCUUUAGGAGCCUCCGAAGAUCCGGCCACGCCGACCCUGUCGGGUGCAGAAAGCCUGUUUCCUCCAGCCCGCUGGGAAGAUUCCUGGCUAUGCAUUCGGCCGGGGCAUCUGAGGGCAGGAGCUGCGCCAGGCGUGCCGGAUAGACCAGUGAAGAGCACCCCGCCAGACUGCCUUUCCCUCGGCCGGACCAAGACUCGGCGCCGCACAUUCUCCCCGGGGGGGCCCGGCGCAGUCACGCGCGCACCCCAAUUGCGCUCACACACGCGCAAGGCUCACGCUCUCCGUCCCGCACACCUGCGCUCCGCCCCUUGGUCUGGGGCUGGAGACGGGCGACGGCAUUUGAGAAUCCAGGGCGGUUGCGGAGGCGCCCCGCAUCUUUUCCCUUACCCAGGGCCGGAGUAGUCUGGAGCCUGCCGCCGCUCCCAACCAGCCCUCAUCCGUCUCCAUCCUUCCCUCCCCCGCCUGCCGUGGCACCAAUAUCCGCAGCCACAGCCCGAAGCCGGUGAGGCGGCGAAGGGGGGAGGGGGAGGAAUCGAGGGAUGAGCGCCGGGAGGGCGUCGGGGGCCCUGAGCCGGACAAGGACGCUCCUGGAGCCGGAACCCAAGCCAAAGCCGGAGCCAGAACCAAACCACCGGUACCGGCUGCAGCCCCCUAAACCCAGGAGGCGCCCUGGCCCGCGCUCGCCCCCCAGGGCCUCAUGUCGGAACCACAGCCUGACCUGGAGCCGCCCCAACAUGGACUGUACAUGCUCUUUCUGCUUGUGUUGGUCUUCUUUCUCAUGGGCCUCGUAGGCUUCAUGAUCUGCCACGUGCUCAAGAAGAAAGGAUACCGCUGCCGCACGUCGAGGGGCUCAGAGCCUGACGACACCCAGCUCCAGCCCCCUGAGGACGAUGACAUGAAUGAGGACACAGUAGAGAGGAUUGUUCGCUGCAUUAUCCAAAAUGAAGCCAAUGCCGAGGCCUUGAAGGAGAUGCUGGGGGACAGUGAAGGAGAAGGGACAAUGCAGCUAUCUAGCAUGGACGCCACCUCCAGCUUGCAGGACAGAGCCCCCUCCCAUCAUCACACAGUGCACCUGGGCUCUGCAGCCCCUUGCAUCCAUUGCAGCCGCAGCAAGAGGCCCCCACUUGUCCGUCAAGGACGCUCCAAGGAAGGAAAAAGCCGCCCCCGGACUGGAGAGACCACCGUGUUCUCUGUGGGCAGGUUCCGAGUGACACACAUUGAGAAGCGAUAUGGGCUACAUGAGCAUCGUGAUGGGUCACCCACUGACAGGAGCUGGGGCUCUGGUGGGGGACAGGACCCAGGGGGAGGUCAAGGGUCUGGGGGAGGGCAGCCCAGGGCAGGGAUGCCUGCCAUUGAGAGGCUGCCCUCUGAGGGGCCACAGCCCCAGGCCCUAGCCAGCCCCCCAGUGCAGAAUGGAAGACUGAGGGACAGCAACCAAGUCCCAUGUGCACUUGAGAGGAACACUGGAACCUCUGCAGAGCCAGCACAGGGGGCCAGAGGGAGGGACCCAAGCCCAGGGCUGCCCAAUCAAAAGGCAAAUGAACAGCCAAGAAAACCAGACACCUCAGAUCACCAGGUACGAAGACUUGGCCAGGGCUGCAGUGCGCAGUGUUGGGCUGUUUUUAUUGCCCCCUACUCUGGGGUGCACUGAUAUAAUUCAUCUCCUGUUCUCCCAUUGUUGAUCUCUCCCCCUUCUCUCAGAUGUCUCCACCUCGGGGAGCAGGGGGUGUAUAAGCUGGCAAGGCCAAGGGGUGGGUGAGCAUGAAGGCCCUCCCCUCCACUGGACAGCACUGCCCCCCAGUUGAGGACCAGCUCUACUUCCACCUGGAGUGGCACGGUCUCAGGCUGGGGGACCUCGGGAGAAGUCCCCCCUCCAACCCCUUGUCCCUCAGUCUCUUCCCCUUCCCUGCCUGCCAACAGGCUACCUGACCUGCCUUUCUCAACACCUCGCUCCAUAUACCAGAGUGUGGCAGCUGGAGCACACCCCUGCCCUUGGUGGGCUCCUAAAGCAAUAGCACCUUAGGUCCCCUGCCCUCUUGGCACAAGAGGCUCAGGCCCUGGCUUGGCCUUCGUGCCCUUUAUUCACUGUCAAUAAAUCCGCUCAGAUCAUUA